rnacentral:tRNA from 1 species
CCCGCCUGGGGGACGCACCGCCGCUGUCGAUGGGCCAGCGGCAGCGCGUCGCCCUGGCGCGCGCGGUGUUCGGCACGCCGAGGCUGGUCC